AGGUAGAUAGAUAGGAAGAUGGAUAGAUAGAGGGAUAUAGAUAGGAAGAUGGAUAGAUAGAGGGAUAUAGAUAGGAAAAGAGAUAGAUAGAUAGGAAGAUGGAUAGAUAGAGGAAUAUAGAUAGAUAGAUAGAUAGAUAGGAAGAUGGAUAGAUAGAGGGAUAUAGAUAGAAAGAUAGAUAGAUUGAUAGGAAGAUGGAUAGAUAGAGGGAUAUAGAUAGGAAGAUAGAUAGACAGAUAGGAAGAUGGAUAGAUAGAGGGAUAUAGAUAGAUAGAUAGAUAGACAGAUAGUGGUAUACAUAUAUGGAAGAAAAAAUAAUAAUAUAUAUAAUGAAUAAUACAUGUGUUUACUUGACGGCACACACACACACACACACACACACACACACACACACACACACACACACACACACACACACACACACACACUAACUAGCUCUACGUAAAAAAAUAUAUAUAUGUGUUGACUUCACUACUCCUUUAUAAUGAUCACGUAAUGACAAAAGGUUCGCAGCAUAAUAUUUCGCAAAGCAUUCUUAUGGAUAUUUGGUCAUUAGCAUCUCUCUCUCUCUCUCUCUCUCUCUCUCUCUCUCUCUCUCUCUCUCUCUCUCUCUCUCUCUCUCUCUCUCUCUCUCUCUCUCA